AGGAAGCGGAUGGCCACCCAGCCGCCGGCCGGCACGCCGACGGUGUUCCGCUCGACGGGGUCGACGAGGUUGAACUUGGCCGGGUCGUUGACGGGGUCGUAGUUGCCGUACCCUUGACCGACGACGAAGAAGUUGAAGCCGUGGAGGUGCAGCGGGUGGCUCUCGAUGCCGAGGAUGCUGGUGCCCUGCAUCACCAGCUCCACGUUGGUGCCGUACGGGAUCACCAUCAGCUUGGUCCCGUUGGCCACGUUGGUGUUGUUGGGCGGCGUCCCCGUGUAGUUGAACGGCGUCAGGGGCGCGACGGGGAAGUCCGACGAGUAGACGCCGCUGGACAGGCCGGUGAAGUGCGAGUGCAGCAGCGCCCUGGUCGGGAGCGCGAAGGAGACGUUGUUCACGGACGCCGCGAACUGCGUCGUGUUCGUGGGGCCCUGGCACGUCGUGUUGGCGGGGCACGGGUGCGUGCCGAGCCCGACGGUGAAGAAGAACUUCUUGUCCACCGUCUUCGGCACGGCCGCCGGGUACUGCGCGGUCGCGAGGCUCCGGAGCUUUGCCGUGAAGUUGCCGACGAAGUCGGUGUCGUUGAACCCCGGCAGCGUCGGCUUGUAGAGCGGCAGAGCCUUGUUGAAGCUCGGCGCGGAGGAAGGGGCGUCGGGGUACUCGUACUCGAGGAUGCCGGCGACGGUGGUGUUGUCGAAGGUGCCCGGCCUGGUGGUGGAGUAGGGCGCGGCGGACAUGUAGUAGUUGGCGCCGGGGUAGAAGGGCUUGGCGGUGAGGAGCACGUUGGUGGUCUGCCCCGGGGCGAUGAGCAGGGUGUCGACAGUGAAGGGCUUGACGUAGACGGCGUCGACCUCGACGACGGUGAGCGAGUGGUUGGCGAUGGAGAAGAAGAGCUCGUCGUUGAGCGCGGCGUUGAUGAGGCGGAGCAUGUACGUCUUCCCGGGCUUCACCUUCAGCUUGUACGUGUCUGCGUGUCACACGUGCAGGCAGGACAGUGCGGAUUACAACAAAGUUUUUCGAUGCCGACGUGUAUCGGAAUAGAAAGCGCACCUAUCUGGAGGCGUAACUAAGAUUUCGUUUACGUCACACACCGGCCGGGACCCACCGCCGGCGAGGUUGCUUUUUAGUGCACCAAAAUGUGUUAGGUCAAGUACAAGUUUAUUGGAUCCCAUGACGGCGACGUUUUGCGUAAAUUCCCACAGCCAACAGCCAAUGCAAAGAUCCCGUUUCCAGAAAGGAACUCGGAAUCUUCUUUGCCUUUGGUGAUUUGAACCCCCCACCUUCGUGAAAACGAGGCCUCUUUUAUGAUCGAGUUUCAAAACGUAACUUGGACAUGCAUGGAGAAAAUGAAAACCAGGGGGGCGCCCGUAGACGUCACCUUUUCCUUUCUGUUAGCACUGCUGCUUAGACUCUUUGCUUGCUCAUCAGCGUCGUCUUUUCUUUUUGUUUCGUUUUGUAUUUUUAGAUGCCAUGCCUAGCUCGUCCUUGCUUUGAAACUCCGUAACACUGACGCGUAGCUUCACUAGUGUAAUCCAGACCAAAAGGAAAAAAAAAAAGAAAAAGAGAACAUAACCCGUACCUUUGGCAGAGCAGUUGUAGAGCGGUCCUGGGAGGCCGUUGAUGGUGUGGGCGUCAGAGACAUUCGGUCCACCGCCGGUCUGAAGCGCCUGCUUGAUCACCACCUCCGUGUCCGCCUGCCACCACUCACCUACCACCCAAAACGAAUCGCAUUUCGCGAUCGCACACAAAAUGGAUCAGUACCAUCAUCAACAACAGCAACACGAUCGUUUUCUCGUGGCGUUCGGCCGUUCACGUCGGCCGGCGGCGGAGACAGCAGACACACUCACCGAAGAUGACGGGGACCUCCUUGUAGGGCGCCGGGAACGGGUAGGGCACGCCGAGCUUGGGGAGGAUGACGAUGGGCCCGUAGACGGUGGCGCGGAGCCAGGAGAUGUGCGCGUGCCACCACAGGGUGCCGCGCUGCCCGACGACGGUGAAGUUGUACACGUAGCUCUGCCCCGUCUGGAUCGGGCACUGCGUGAUGUACGCCGGCCCGUCCGCCCACCCCGUCCGCAGCUGCCGGAUGCCGUGCCUGAUCAGAGUGUUCAGAGAAAAAUUUUCAGAGCUAGUAGCGUUCCCGGCAGGUGGCAGGGAUGAGAUAUUCUUGGAACGAACUUUUUGCGGGUGUUGUUGUGCCGCUACGACGACGAAGUAAUGCUAAAAGUGGGUGCACCAGCGCGCGCACUUUUGACUUCAAAUCACGCUCGUACGGGAGAGAGAGUAGGAUCGGAUCACUUACCAGUGCAGCGAGACGUUGUGCUGUGCGUGGUUGGUGACGCGGACGACGACGCGGUCGCCUUCCCUGGCGACGAGCUCGGGGCCGGGGAACUGCCCGUUCACCGUGACGAUGCUCUUGCUGGAGCACAGCCGCGUCACGUUCGCCAUUGUCACCUGCGUGCAUUUAGGGUUCAUCGAUGGUCAAGAUCACGUACUAGAGAUAGCACAAUCAAGACGGCCGUACGCGAGUAGCAUGGUAAGGAAAACGUGUGUACUAGCAGGCGAUCAAGAUAACACAAUCAAUGCAACGACGUACAUUGAAGUCGUAGUAUCUCGUGAUGCCUUGCACUUCGACGAUGGAGGCGAGGAGCAUCAGGGCCGCCACGAGGAGGGAGCACGGACGAAGAGCGGAGGAGAUCGCCAUCGCCAUGGCCCUGGCCAAACUUCUAGGCUCUGAUGACCGAUGGAGCAGCUAGCUAUCUGAAGUUGCUUUCGAUCGAGCUCUAGAGGCGACCGAAGAGAUGGAAGAGGAGCAACAAAUGUGUGGGUGUGUUGGGACAAGCGCUAGAGUCCUCUCCAUAUAUAGGGCAUGGCGAGCAAGCGCAAGUGUAUGGCAACUACCACCGCCACAUUUUCUUAGGUUUUUUACACGGUCGACAGGCACGCAGCUUGGGCGGCACUAUUAGUUUGGUGAUUCGGUAGAUGAGCGAUCAAGGGCGCAGGCAGGCCAGCUGCUCGAGCUAGCUGGAGUGCUCUAGCUUUAGAGUGUGGCCAAAGAAUGCGGCAACGAUCCCUUCUCUUUUGACCAUGCACGCACUGGGGUGAUCGCCGGCCGCUAGUUUAGUUUUGGUGAUUUGCAUGCCGUCACGUACCCUUUCCGGCGCAAGAGUUCGCCGACGGAAACUGAAAGGCAAACAAACUGCGUGCGUGCACAAGAGUAAAAACCGUUGUCUUGGUGGUGGUAAAGGAAAAGGUACGGUAGAUGGAUAUUUGCGAAGAAGAAUUCCCAACCAUCAGAGACAAAAUCUUGUCGCGCUAUUGUUCUGCAAAAGGGCUUGUUAUGUACUCCCUCCGUCCCAAAUUAUACGCCGUUUUAGUUUUUCUAGAUUCAUAACUUUUACCAUAUAUCCUAUAUCUAAAUAUAUACUAUGUCUAGAUACACAAUGAAAGCUAUGAACCUAGAAAAACCAAAACGACCUAUAAUUUGGGACGGGGGAGUAAUAUACAUGUUCCAUGAAAGAUCUUGUCCUAUACAAUGGGUAAUUUGACAUUUUGACAAUUGAAUGGUGAUGGCUUAUUAUUGGUCCCUAAUUCGUACUUGCUGGUUUAGACGACCCUGAACAAAAUCAGGGAGGUCAAGUGUCAAAAUCUACAGAUAAUAGGUGCUCUACAAGCAAUUGGGAAUCGAUUUCUUGAAGCAAAUAUUCCAUAUCCUUCACACUUAUUAAUAAAGCAAAUUGUUGAUUACACUGGCAUCUAGUGUUGAAAAAUAUGUUUACCUGUAUUUUGACAAGGCCAUCUAGAUAAUGACACCCAAAUAAAAAGAGGAAAAAGAUCUUCUAGGAACUGUGUGCAAAGGUUACUUCCUAAUUAGGUUGUGCAGCUUAAUCAAAACUACAUGAUGCAAAUAAUCCAUGAUUCACGUGGGCCACCAAAAAUUCUCGAAAGGGAGAAAAGAAUUUUUUUUCAUGGGGCAUCAACUAAAAAAGAAAGAAAACAGUUCGUCGCUGUCACCAACAUACUACGUAGCUUCCUACUACGUUCCCAUUUCUCCAAGUUCAGAAACCGGUUGACGCAGGUUUUUUCACCUACAGUUCAGUGAAUCUACGAGUUGUAGGAGUGUAUGUUUAAGAAUGGAUGCAUGAUCCCUUGCCAUGGAUCCCAAGACACCAUCCAUCCAGUAGGUGCUACCUGCAUGGUUGGUGUCUUAGCGUGUGUUCUUUCCUUGUACAAUGCACAACGGGGAGAAGGAUGCUUGACCCAACACGAUUGAGCGAUGCAACGUUUCCUUCCUCUUACUUUAUUGACUGAAAAAGAAGGAAGGCGGACCAACAGUAACAUGUAAAAAAAAAGGAAUGCAUUGAAUUUGCUCUCGCAACUCUCCCGGCCCUACUUCUAAUGAGGCAUUUCGGCGCAGAAAAAAUGCUUGUUUUGAAAUGCUAUAUGCAUAAUUAGUUAACUUGAUCGUUGGUAUGUGCAUUCAAAAGUAACUAGGUUAAUUGUUCAAGGUAGACAUUGAUAUGUGCUGCCAUAUUUAAUCAGACUUUUUAUCUCUAUUUCAUUUCUAUGUAAAUAAACAGAAAUAUGCACAUCUAUCAACUCUCUUAUAAAGAUCAUAACAUUUAAAAUACCAAAAUAAUAAUGAAAGAAUCACGAAGGUUUUUGACCAAUAAUAAAAAAAUCAUGAAUUUGCCCAGUGCUGAUUUAACUUCCUGACGAGAUUUUAAGCCUUAUUAGUGGACUUUAUAUUAUGUACUACAAAUAAUCAUAUUUGUUUAUAUUAACUUUUGAAACAAUGAUAAGUACAAGGUUUUCCUAAAUCAUAGAGAAACUAUUAGUAAUACAUGUAAAUCAAUCAUAAUAUUUUCUGUACCAAGUAAUGCAAUGAUUCACUGAUAUGAUGGAGUAACAAGCAGUCUAGGAUAUGAUACUUUUAAAAAAAAUUUAGCUCGCCUCAAUGUUUCAUGUCUCUAUCUGUGAUCCAUACUGAACAAAAAGGUUAAUAAAUGACAGUGACCAAUUUUAAUUAAGCAUUCCCUAAUAAUGAUCGGUGACCGGAUGCCACAGAAUUGGUUUGAUUUUGGGCUCGGUUCAUAUUUCUGAAGUACCCCCAUCAUUAUUAAUUCUUAUGUAUUAUGACUGAAGUAGAAAGAGUGGCUAGGUCUUGCAAUAAUUUCUUAAAAACAAUUACAACACAAGUCACCACAUAUUUACAGAACCACAGGAUCGACUAUUUCCCUUGUUUCUCAUAAAAGUAAAAGAUCGACACAUGAGGAAAAUAGUUUUAUUCCUCAAAGAUCAAUUGCAAUCAUGGAAGCAAGGAAUAAAAUUAACCACAAGAUCGACUAUUUUCCUUGUUUCUCAUAAAAGCAGUUGCAGUUCAGGUAUCCAUGGCGUGGAAUAAAACUAACCACAAUAGUUUAUGAAGCACAAAUAGGUGAACAAGUGUCCUUCCUUGAUUGCAAUUGCUUUCCUCUCAUUUUCUUGAAAGAACAGAAGGCGCAAGCCCCUGCUGGUUAAUAUACUGAAAUAAAAUUAAGGUUAUUUACAGAGAGUCCAAAAGAAGAAAAAAAGAGACCAAAAAAAGAUUGACAACAAAUUACUGGAAUGAAUCUUUGCAGAUACUGAAAUCCGGGAAGUAACUCUUCUUUGCCCUAUGAAUAAGCAUGGCAAAUUCAUGUCAAAACUUGGUCUUUCUUACUGCAUCUAUUGUUAGGGCAACGUGAUUCAAGAUCGGUCAGUACAUGGAAGCAAGGAAAUUCACCCAGAGCGGUCAGUACACCACAGCUUCAGCAUACAAGGCUCAACUACUAGGUAGCGUCAAGACGCUAAACCUGGCAACAGUGUGGCAAGCCUGGGCACCGGCAAAAUGCAAAGUUUUUGCCUGGCUGAUUCUCCAAAAUAGGGUCUGGACUUCGGACAGAUUAGCAAAACGGGGCUGGGACCACACCCCUACUUGCACCCUAUGCCGCUGCACGAUGGAGACUGCGCAUCACCUCCUUGCCGAAUGCAGAUAUACAAAACAAAUCUGGAAGCUCGUAGCCCAAUGGCUAUCACAGGGAAGCCUACAACCGGAUCAAUGGAAACACAGUACAAGGGCCAUCGAUUGGUGGAUCAAUAUCACAUCAACACCAGAGAUCCCACAUAAAGCGUGCAGAAGCCUAACCCUCCUGAUUAUGUGGGAGAUAUGGAAUGAACGAAACUCCCGAAUCUUCCGCCACAAGGGUUCCCCGACGACAUCACUAAUGGCAAAAAUCAAAUCCUCAGCUCAUAUGUGGCUAGCAGCGGGAGCGAGAGACCUAGCGGCCCUUCUACCGUAAACACGCCUCUCUGAUGCCCCAACGCCGCUUUUUCCUUUUCCUUUUCCUUUCUUUUCCGUUUUUUUGGCCGGCCCGCCGGUUGUAACUCCCCUAUAUCAAUGAAAUAGGCACACUCUCGUGCCCUUUCCGUUCAAAAAAAAAACGUGAUUCAAGAUCUGAGCAUUUCUAAUUUCUGACCAUUUUAGUCCAUGUAUCCCUAAUAUAGCUUAAGUCAAUGCAGUUUUCAAAAUGUGCAUCUCUCUAAAUUUUUAUCUUUGUAUAGCAAUUCAGGGGGCUUCCACCUUGUAUUAAUGGAAAAGAGCCAUUAUGAACGAGCUAGAAAACGGGCACAAGACUUGCAAACCCAACAAGAUACCAUGCAUCCCAGGUACACAAAGAGUAGAAAAGAAAAGGGCAAAAAAACAACCCCGAUGAAGAACAAAGAGAGAAUCAAACAACACAUGACUCUGAAAUUAUUUUUUCAUUGGGUACCUUGAAUAAUUUAUCAGGUUUAAGUUUUUAGUUAAACUCAAAGAGAAGUAGCAAAUUUCUUUUUUUUUCCGUGGAUGUUGAUGUCCCAAGCCCUAGCAUGCAACUCCGGUGACACCCCCUCCCCCCACACCGCCACCUCCACCGCCGCCGCCGCUUCACCUGUCGCAUCCACCUCCUCCGCUCCUGCCGCCGCAACACCCUCCUCCCCUCUAGUGGGAGAUGAGACAGCCCCUUCGCGCCGCCGCCUCCGGGGGACUCGACAGUCUGCUAGCCCCUCCUUCCGCGUCCUUGGCCGGUCGGACCGCGCCUCGGUGGGGCUUAUCUCCGCCCGGCCUGGGGGCUGAUGGCGUCAGACUCCCGGCCCGCAGCCUCUCACCGGGGGAAGCAUUUCGUGACUUCGCACUUCACAAUUUCCAUGCCACUGUCUUCGCCCAGGUCUCGUCAGCCUCUCCCCUCCUGUCACCCUCCGACCUCUGGGUCUCCCCCUACCCUCACCUUCCCGUUUGCAAUCUUGCUUGGUUUCGGAACACCCUGAACUACUGGCUGGAUAGCGUGGUCCUUGCCAUCCCGCUUGUCCAAGUUGCCACUACCAUCUUCCGCGUCUCCCUUGCUCACCACACCAUCGCCCAGUUCAUUCUCACUCUCGGCGACUUGUGCCACGGCCGCAUCCGCCUGAGGUUCUUCCCUGACCUCUGCUCCGCCGCCGCAUCCAUCCCCAUUUCAAACUCUUCGGUCAUCCUUUCGGCAGGAUCCUAGGCAGCCUCCUCUGGGCCAGCUUCUCCGACCCAUCGCAGCUGCCUCCGGAUGGCCCACCACCCCAGCGCUCGCCUGGCGCCUCCCCCAAGGGUGGCGACCCCGAGGGUGGCGCACCGCUGCAGGCGCAUGCACGUCUCGUCAGCUCUGUCCUGGCUGCUUCGUAGGGCGUGCAUGGCUACGUUGCCCCUGCGCCCGGUGCACCUUACCUACCAGGGACGGGCCUUCCCCACCAUCCGCGGUGCCAGGUGGCGCCGAUCCACCCGCCCCGUCGUGCGCCGGGUGCCCUGGGCUCCUCCCCCUACCGGUGGACAGGGGUUUCUUUCCACCGCUACACGCCCCCCUGACUCCUCCACCCUCCCAUCCCCGAAAAACCCCAACUCCACCCUCCUACGUUGUCGUCGCUUCAUCUUCCCCCUUCACUGAUCGCCAUCGCCGCACCCUCUACCCCCGCACCCGCCACGCCACACACUCACCACCAACCACCGCCACUGCUUCCGAUGCCUCACGCUUGACCACCGCCAUGCAGCCUGCCGCGACCCCAUCCAUUGUCGUCGCUGCUGGGUCUUCGGCCACAUCGAGUGUUUCUGUCGUGCGCCUCGGCACCCCGUUGCUCGCAGCAUGUUGGGUAUCCAUUUGAUGGUCCACCAGUCACCGACUCCGAGUCCUCCUCGCCAGCGAUGGCCUCCUCGCACUCGGCGGCAACCUCUAGCUCCAACCUGUCGGCUUCCCCGCCGGUCCCUGUCCACGCCGACAUCAAUGACUUGGCGGUGGAUGCCCUGGAGGAGGGUGAGAUCCCGCCGUCCGGGUCUGACCUGGAGGCCAUCGUCGACGCCAACGUCGAUGAUGACGACGCCCUCUCCAACGGCCAACAAGAACUGGAGGAGUAGCUGCAGCCGGACUCCAUCGAAGUCUUCAUGCCUCCGGUUCACAUGUUGCGCUUCUCCCACCUGGCCUUCAUCCUCAUUGACCUGCCGCCUCCCAACCUUAGCUCCCUUGUCCGCCAAGCUCUCAUCGCCCAGGGUGGCCAUCCUCGGGUAACCCUCACCAUCUCUUCCUACAAUGCCGCUUUGGUUAUGUUUGAAAGUAAUGCUGCUCGUGAGGACGCCGUCCAGCUUGCCUCCUACCUGGGGUAUGAACACGUCGUCAACCUGGAGUGCCACAAGGAGACCCCCAACCGUUUCCACUUCUAGCGUGAUGCCUUCGUUGUCGUCGCUAUUUGAGGGUACCCGAUGGAGCAUUGGAAGCGCAUCAUCUUCUCCGUGGGUCCCUAUGCCAAUCCACACUUCAUCGACCCAAUCUGCCUGUCUGGUACGGAUUUCUCCGUUGUGCUCCUCAUGCUCAAGGUCGAGGGUGCCAAUGACAUCCCGCUCAAGGAGUUCAUCAAGAACCAUAAUGAGUUAGGCUCCUUCGCCACCAUCAAGAUCCUGCACGUUAGGACCUGGACGAAUCAGACUCGGACGAUGAUGGCCCUCAGCCCCCUGAAUCCAGCCUUGGGUCGCCGCUCAACAACAACAAUGGUGGUGGCCCAGCACCUCCUGGGAGGGGGGAGGGCUGGCCAUGGCCCAGCUACAGCAUCGAUGUUCAGUGCUCCCCUUCACGGGCCAGGUGGUGGCGGUGGCGCUCAACAACUCCAAGUGGUGCGCGCUCCCUGCAGAUCAGGCCUCAGCAUUCCUGUCUGCUGCGGAUGUUCUGCUGGUCCAAGUGGGCAGGCUCCGCAACCAGGUCGUGCUGCCUGAGGCCAAUGCGCAGCCCCUCCUCACCAAACCUGCAACCGUGAACAUCAUCCUGCGCCAGGGAUCAUUAUUUGAGAUCUCCACCAUCGCAAAGGAUGGAUCCAAAGGCUUCUUCAAAGUCCCGCUCCAGCUGUACCGCACUGAUGUUCGUGGUGACCAGGGGAUGUUCGUCAUCAACUUCUGCUUCGUCUCCGGCUUCCUACACAAGGUGGCAGCAGUGGGUGCCCGUGGCUGCGCCUCCUUCUCCUCUGACAUCCUCUGUGUGGGGCUGCAGCCACCAGCGAACUUGUCCCUCCUCGAUGCCACCAAGCUCUGCGAUGGGGCUGCUGUCCCCCGCAUCCUGCCGCCUAUCGCUACUGAUGCGAGGGCUCUGGCACCGGAACCUCCAGUGCUGGAGGCUGUGGAGGGUGCAGCUGCACCAUCCUCACUAAGCUUCAACUCCCUGGAGGAAGGAGUCCACCACUGCAGCAGGCUGGAAGCAUUCUACGACAUCUGGAAGUGCAACCACAUCAUCGAGGAUGUCCCGGUGCCGCUUGUUGAGCUGUGGUUCAGCGUCUCAGCCUCCUCCAUCACCCUCCAGAGGGAGCUCUCCUUGCUGGAGCCUUUACCACACACUGGCGCCACUCCGACUCCCCCACCAGUGGUCAUGAUCCCCACUCCGCCGCUGGCUGAUGAUGACCGCCGCCGCCGCGACUAGCUUAAAGCCAAGGAGCUGGCCGCUUGCGAGAUGGUCUCCGAGGAUGCCAUCCGCAUCAAGAAGUGGAUGCUGGGCACCGUGACUCCACCCUCAGCUCCUAACCCUGCUACCAACGGGAAAGCCAACGGGAACGUGAACACUGAUGCUGUUGAAAAUGAUCCUACGCACAUCGCGGCCACCACUACUCCUACUGCAAUGGCUGCACCUGCUUUCCCGACCCUAGCCUGGUGUGUGGUGGACCUCAAGCUCCUGGGUCGUGCCUGCUGCUUGCCUCAACACCCUCGACAAUGCCCUGUCACUGAUCGUCGACAAUGUGGACUAAUGCCGUGGUGUAGUCCUCACUUGCUCAUGCUCCAGUCUCUCUUUUGCUCAUGCGAUUGUGGGUCAUGUAAUGUAAUCACCCUCGACAAUGCCCUGUCACUGAUCGUCGACAAUGUGGACUAAUACCGUGGUGUAGUCCUCACUUGCUCAUGCUCCAGUCUCUCUUUUGCUCAUGCUUUUGUGGGUCAUGUAAUGUAAUCACCUACCAGCUGCCUAGAAUGCUUGUUGUCAGUGAAACUUUGUGCGCUUGUCGUCUGAACCUAAAGAGGUGCCCUUGUGGCCUCCUCUCGCCAUCGGAGCAUGAUAUUUGUGACUUGUUUGCCUAUAUCGUGUCUCUGUGUGUGCUGAUUCUCCUUGCCUGGGUCUACUCAUGUUCUAGUUCAUGUGGUUCUUGGGUUUUUUAUGGCUAACAACUCUCUAAACAUGUCAUGGAAUGUGCGUGGCCUGGGGGAUAAGAAGAAGUGCAUGGAUGUCCGAUUGGCCUUCCCAGCCUCCUUGCCUACCAUUGCUAGCCUCUAAGAAACUAAACUACAUGUCAAUAUUUUAUACCCGGCAACCUACCGAGGGGUAUCCCGAGGUAGUAGAUUGAUCGGUAGGGGAUCAUUGGACCUGGAACUCGAAGGUGAAAGCGAAGCAAGACACAGAUUUAUACAGGUUUGAGCCACCAGAGUAGCGUAAUACCCUACGUCCUGUUUGGGGUGUUGUAUAUUGCGUCCUACGCUUGGGCGUUGUUUGGUGUUGAGGAUUUGGUCCUCUAUUAUGGUUCUAUGAGGUCUUAGCCUACUGAUCUAGUGACCCCUGCGCUCCUUUAUAUGCUCCAGGGGGCGGGAUUACUUGUCGGUUACAAGGAGUCCUAGCAGGAUUACAUGGUAUGAGUUCUAAUAGGAUUACAGAGGAAUCCUAGUAGGAUUCCAUCUUCUUCCUUCCUUGCGAGUACGGGGGAUCUAUCCCCAACAAGCCCCCGAGCGCUUCAUAGUCAAAUGUAACAACUCAAGUACUUUUUAGAUCCUCGCCGAGUAAUUUAGUGCUUCUCGAGUACUUUGUCUGGCUAAAUCUUCAAACAUACUUGAGCAUUGCCGUGCGGCUAGAAUGUGCUUAAGCCUGAUUUAACUUGGUCUGGAUGGGGUGCCUAUGGCUACUGCCAUGUUGACUACGUUGGGAUGGGGUGUGUGGAACUGAGUGUAUCGGGUUUUGCUGAUCGAGUUGUUCGUACACGUGCUUUGCCAGUUCAGCCAAUUGCCUGGUGUAUUUAUCCUGUGGCAUUGCGCGGGUAAUAAGAUCAAUGAACGCGAUGAUGGCAAGAGGGGUACGAUGUUGACGUGAUUGAACCGCUUCAAACUCGUGAUCCAGGUUCAUGAUUGGUAGGUCUGCUGCAAGGUGGUGCUCUGCUCUUGCAGCGUUCCUUACUCGUCGUCGAGUUCUUUGAGCUUCAGUCUCUUCUCCAGCAACAUUAGCGGUGAGCUCAUCCUGCAAGACGUCAUCUAGGUGACAUUCAUGCCGCGGAUUUCUCUUUGGUUGCUCUUCAUCUUCACACUCUUGUCCAGCAAUAAGAGCGAAGAGUUUUCGUUUCGUAGAGUAGCUUCCCGAACUUGACGUGAUGACCUCCUUGGUGCCCUCUUCCUCAUAGAUGGGUGACAGACGAGCUCCCUCCUAGUACAGGAGGGUGUAUGGUAGGCAAUAAGGUGUGAAUCGUCGUUCUUGGUAAGAGAGGUGGCUUCAUGUCGAGCUAGACGAAUCUGCCUUGUGAGGUUGAUGUGAUUACCAGGCCCUACUGCAAACCUGAUAAAGGGGUCUCCUCAUCCAAAUCCGAGUAGUAGUCGGGGUCCUCGAUCAUAUUUGUGCCGAAUUGUGAUCUGGACAGGGUAGCUUGGUAAAUAGCACCUGUGUUUCGGAGUCCUAACGGAAAUUGACUUGGGUCGUAGUCCGAUUUGCACGAUGGCUUGAGCGCCGGCUCGUGAAAACCAGUCCGACUAGUGGGAAAAGUCAAGUUGUACUCGGAUUCGUCCCCCUGGCCUCUGACUAAGUCAAAAAUUGAAAAUUUGCUGAAUUUGUCGACGAGAUCCUCCAGGGCCUUACGCUGGAGCUUCAUGGCAUGCUGCUUCUUCUCCAAGGCCGGCACGAUUUAGCGGUGGAAGUUUCCAGCAUUGUCUGCGACGCAAACUCAGGAGCCUAAGAUGAACGUCACGCCUAUUUUGAAUGUGAUGAUUGGCUUGAUGACGACUUGGGCCAUCAAGUUCGCCAGUGGAUUCUCAGCGAGCUCCCUUACUUGGCGCGUCAGCCGUCCUGUGUGUUGGUUGUUGUAUAUUGCACCCUGUGUGUUGAGGAUUUGGUCCUCUGUUGUGAUUCUCUAUAUGCCGAUGUAGGUACCCCUGCCCUCCUUUAUAUACUCCAGGAGGCGGGAUUACUAGCCGGUUAUAAGGUAGAAGUCCUAGUAGGAUUACAUGGUAUGAGACCUAAUAAGAUUACAGAAGAAUUCUAGUCGGAGUCCAUCUUCUUCCUUCCUUGCGGGUAGUGGGGAUCUAUAGGAUGUCGACCGUUUCAAGGCGGCUUCCAUUCUUUCCCACCCAAUUGCCAUGACCUACAACUUCAACCCCUCCAUUAGCGCCUUCGGCGGCAUCCUCACCGCCUGGAACCCCAACCACCUCUCGCUCACCUCAUCAUCCACCUCUGCUCACACCCUCACCUCCACCUUUCAGUCUACAGCCAACUGCUCCACCUUCAUUGUGAUGAAUUGCUACGGUCCUUGUGCCCACCAGGACAAGCAGGCCUUCUUGGACGAGUUAACUUCGCUUUCCUCUUCUAUUUCAGGUGCAUGGAUUGUGCUAGGGGAUUUCAAUCUUGUUCGUUCUCCUGGAGAACGUUCCAAUGACAACUUCGACAUCCACGAAGCUGAUUGGUUCAACUCAAUGAUUGAUGAUCUCGCACUCCUGGAAGUCCCUCUUUUGGACCGUCGGUUCACUUGGUCCAACCACCAGUAGUCACCUAUCUUGGUCGUGUUGGAUCGUUUCCUGGUUAACGUUGAUUGGAGUAAGCAGUUCCCGAAUGCUGCAGCUACUUCAGCUUCUGUGCUGAUCUCAGAUCAUCGCCAGGUCCUACUCACGGCCUCCAUGUCCAUUCCACGACCGAUGAUCUUUCGAUUCAACAACCACUGGACUUGGGUGCCAGGCUGCCACGAAGUCAUAAGGGGGCAUGGUCUAGUGUUCAUAGCUGCACGGAUUCUACUAAGCUAAUGCUUUGACUCAAGAGGUGUCGUGCUGAUCUUAAGUCCUAGAAGCACUCUCACCGCUCACCGUGCAACGUCUUGCUCAACUGCAGCUUGGUCAUUGCAAUGAUGGGAGGUCCGCCCGCUCUAUCCUACAGAAUUUGUUCUCCGUUCUCUGGUGCGUGAUGCUACUCGCGAGCAUACUGCACAGCUUUCCAUCUUUUGGUGACAGUGAAGCAAGGUUCAUUCCUGCCUUCUGAGUGAUGCCAAUUCUAAAUUUCAUCACUUAUCUACAACGGUCCGUUGGCGCCGCAAUCAGAUUAGGACACUUCAACUGGAUGAUGGCAUAGAGGUUCAUGGUCACUCUGCGAAGGCUAUGCUUCUACGUGACUUCUACAGUCGCUCCUUGGUGUUGCUGAUCCGGCAACCUCUUUGCUCUUCACUAUAUCACUGCAACAGCUUUUUGCCUCAACCACUUUGUCACUCACUCAAGCUGCUAGUCUGAUUCAGCCAUUCACCAUUGAUGAGCUCAAGGAUAUUAUCAACCAUAUGCGUAUGGACACUGCUCCUGGACCAGAUGGAUUUCCCCCCAAUGUUCUUCUAGGCUAACUUUGCCAUGGUCAAGGAUGACCACAUGCAGCUCUUACACAACUUCCACAACUGCACGACUGAGCUCCACUGGUUUAACAAGGCUUAUCUUGCACUGCUAAUAAAGAAAGAUGUCUCCCUGCUGCCGAAGGACUACCGGCCAAUUUCAUUGCAAAACUGCAUCAUUAAGAUUUGCACCAAAGACAUGACAUCGCAGUUCCAACCUCUUAUUCCCCUCUUGGUGCAUUGUGAUCAAACAGGGUUCCUCAAGGGUAGGUGUAUCGCUGAGAACUUCAUCUAUGCCACUGAGAUUGUCCAAUGUUGUCACGAAAGAAAGGCACCUACUGUGGUUCAUAAGUUGGACUUCCGAAAGGCCCUUGACUCUAUCAGUUGGAACGCUCUUGAUCUCAUCCUGCAAGUGAAAGGGUUCCCUCCCUAUGGUGUAAGUGGAUUCAGCUCCUCAAUGACUCUAGCCAAACGGCCGUUGUCCUCAACAGCGUGCUAGGAUCUUGGAUACAAUGCAGAAAAGGUCUCUGCCAAGUCGAUCCACUCUUCGCAUACCUCUUCAUCCUUGUUGUGGUUUUGCCGCAACAAAUGAUCCUCCAUGCCUCCAACCAGGGCCUCCUGCAACACUCGCUAGUGAUGGAUUUGCCUUGCUCAAUCCUUUAGUACGCUUAUGACACCUCAAUUGUGCUCAAGGCAGAUCAGGACCAGCUUCUUCACCUCAAGUCACUCCUUGAUAGCUUCUUCUUCACUGGCCUCCAUAUCAACUACGACAAGAGUACCUUUGUGCCAAUUGGAUUGGAUGGUCAACAAGAACAAAUGCUUGCUGCGUCAUUGGGUUGCCCAAUCGUCCAAUUCCCACAGAUCUACCUGGGACUUCCUCUAUCUGUUCACAAGCUCCGGUGCGAGGAUAUGCAGCCUCUAGUCAACGUUGUUGGCAACUACAUCCCGGGUUGGUGCGGCAAGAUCCUCACGCCUAGUGAGUGUAUGAUCCUUGCCAACGCUGUCCUGGGUGCACGAUCAAUCUAUGCCAUAUGUUCAUCUGCUUACCCAAGGGCACAAUUGAAGCCAUCGACGCUCACCGGCGAGCGUUCUUAUGGACCGGGGAUGCCUCCUGCUCUGGAGGACAGUGCAAAGCUGCCUGGAUAAUGGUCUUUUUUGACAAGGAUAAGGGUGUCCUCGGUUUUAAGGAUCUUGCAACACAAAACCAUGGCCUCCUACUCAAAUUCGUAGCCAAGCUCCAUCAACCACCUUCGACCAACUGGCAAAGAUGGUUCCAUCGCAUGUAUGUCUCUGGUGUUGGAAGGGAACUUGGAGAGCUGCAUCAUCUUGACACACAUAUCUGGUAAUCUCUUCUGUGGCUACUGCCUGAGUUCCACUAGUGCACACGAGUGCACCUGGGUAAUGGCGGCAGCACAUCAUUUUGGUUUGAUCACUAGAUUGGAGAGCGAUCGUUUUCUGAAGUGUUCCCAGUUCUAUUCUCUUUCACCAAGAAUCCACAGCUAUCUGUUGGGAAGGCCUUUGUUAAUGGCUCAUGGGAUCUCUCUCUACACCAACGACCGUCUUCUGCUGGAAUCUUUGGCUGUGAUCAACAACACCUCCUCCCCUGACAGGCACGGAAUCGGGAUUGGCCUACAAUCAUUCUCCUCCUCAGCCUUCUAUGGGUGGACGAUGGAACAGCGCCCACUAGAUGAGUUCGCUGACUACAUCUGGUCCAGCGUCACGACGCCACGCGCCAAGCAUUUUCUAUGGCUGCUGCACCGUGAUCGCCUGCCUUCCACGAUGUUGCUUCAUCACAACAGCAUCAUUGACUCAACACUCUAUGCUUACUGUGCUGCACACGAGGAUCAGGAUCACAUCAUCAUAAGGUGUGCACAAGCUAAACGUAUCUGGCGUGCCCUAUGCUGGGAUUGUGCUUCGCACCUUGUGUCCUUCUGAGACCUCUGGCACAUCCUGCAACUCCAUGAUGAUGCAUCACCCAAGGUGCGCUCAACCAUCGUCACGGCCAUUACCUGGAACAUCUAGAAAACAUGGAAUGACUUGGUUUUCAAUGGGAUCGUUGCCUCGGCGAACGCAUGCAUCCAUGCAAUCGCGUCGGAUAUUGAUCUCUGGGUUCACCGCACUAGGAACGCAGAUUCUCUCUUUCUCAAGGCGUGGAGUUCAUCUCUUUGUAAUAUACCAUAGCUAAAUUACUCCUUCUCUCAUCCCCUCCUCUCAUAAAUCCUGUAUGCAACAACUUUGUCAUAUUAAUAUAAUGUUCAGGCUAGCUUCUUGCCUGCCGUAGCACCCUUCAAAAAAAAGUAGCAAAUUUUAUGAGUAUGACAACAGAUAGGACAUGUUACAAGCAAUAACUAAAGUGAAAUGCUGCAGUCUUGCAAACGGCAAACACUAGCGUGAUGACAUCUUAACAACGAUACUAAUGCUAUCAAGUAGUUGUCUUUGGAGAAAAAUGCUACCAAGUAGCACUAGUAGAGAAACAACUUUCCAUCUAGCAACAUAAAUCUCGAACGGUUUUGGACCCGGGACUAAAGGUCUAAAUUUUAGAGUCUCUCAGAUCCCUUUUAAUCCUGGUUGGUGGUUCCAGCCAAGAUAAAAGAGGAGCUUUUAGUCCCGGUUGGAGCCACCAACCCAGAUAAAUGAGCACAGAACCCAUUAGUCCUAGCUAGUGGCUCUAACCAGGACUAAAAGACCCCUUUUAAUUUCGGUUGGAGCCACCAAACAGGACUAAGUAUUUUUACCGCUGGCGGCCCCUCUCUCCACCUUAUCUUCUCUCCUCCUCUCCCCUUCUCCCUUAUCUCCUCUCAUUUUCUCCCUUAUCUCCAGGCACAGGCGUUAUCUGAAUGCGCGUUGGGGGGGCACGAGCGGUUGGGGCCGUGUGGCUAGCGUGGGAGCGCACAGGCCGGCGGGGCACGCAGCGGUCGGGACCGCCUCCCGCGGCCGAUCUGCUAGGGGCGGCGGAGCGCCAGCGGCCAUAACCAAGGCCAUAGAGCGGCGUGCGUCCUGGGGGCACGGCGGCCGCCAUGGCCCGACCUCUAGCGGGAACGCAACUCCACGCGGCAUGCCAUCUCCGCGACGCACGACCGGUGGCAGGAGCGCAGCGGUGGGGGCACGAGCGCCGGGGCCGUGCAGCUGGCGCGGGAGCGCACGGGCUAGCGGGGCAUGCGGCGGCCAGGACUGCCUCCCGCGGCCGGCCUGCUAGGGGCGGCGGGGUGCUGGCGGCCGUGGCCAAGGCCAUGGAGUGGCGUACGGCCUGGGGGCAUGGUGGCCGGCACAGCUCAGCCUCCAACGGGGGCGCGGCUCCCCGCGGUGCGCGAUCGGCGGCGGCAGCGCGACGGUGGGGGGCACGAGCAGCUGGGGCCGCGCAGCUGGCGCGGGAGCGCACGGUCCGGCGGGGCACGCGGUGGCCGGGACCACCUCCCGCGGCCGGCCUACUAGAGGCGGUGGGGUGCCGGCGGCCGUGGCCAAGGCCAUGGAACGGCGCGCGGCCUGGGGGCACGACGACCGGCGCCGCCCGACCUCCAACGGGGGCGCGGCUCCUCGCGGCAUGCGACUGGCGGCAGGAGCGUGGCGGUGGGGGGCACAAGCAGCGCAGCGCAGGUGGCCCUGCAUGGUUUGUUUGUGAGUGAAUAGUGAUUCAGUAGUGCAUGAUUUGUGCGAAUUGUUUAUUGUGUAUCACGUCUUGUGCGAAUUGAUUGGUUGUGUGUUCUUGCUCAUCACUGGAGACGGCAUGAUUUCUCUAUCUAGGUUUUGGUUAGUCUUUAUGCUGAAAAAAGAUUGCUACCAUCUAUGCUAUCAAGCUCGAUCUUCACAGAGGAAUGCAUCAUAUUGAAGUAUAGAGCUGCAUGCAUCGACCAGUUCAAAUAAAAACUUAUAUUGAUAGGGAAAUCUCAGUUACACUUCAACACAUCCAUUACUUUUCCUUAUAGCACUAGUAGGGAACUGAUCUUCCAUCCAGAUGCUUUUAUCCUGGUUGACUUUGGACCCGGGACUAAAGUGCCUUUAGUCCUAGGUCAGAAACACCAACCGGGACUAAAGACCCCCCCUUUAAUCCCGGUUGGUGUUUCUAAUCGGGACAGAAGACCCCCGUCCCACGCACCCCCCUCUCCACCUUAUUUUCUCCUCACCCUUUCUCCCUCCCUUAUCCUCGCGCACCGCCUCCUCUCUCCCUCCACCGCACCUUCCUCUCCUCCUCUCUCCAUCCACCGUGCCUCCCUCUCCUCCCUCCCUUAUCCUCGUGCUGCGCCUCCCCUUCCCCCUCUGCUCGCCCCUCACUGGCAGUGAGGAGCGGCAGCGGGGCGAGGCAAGGCAAGUGGCGGGCGCGAGCGGGCCGGCGGCUGGCAGGCACGGUGCGGGCGAGCGGGCGGGUGAGCGGAGGCGGAGCAAAGGCGGACAAGGGCGGGCGGAGGCGAAGCCGAGGCGGGCCCAUUUUUUAUUUUGUUUAACUUUUUAGUCCCGCUUGGUAAUACCAACCGGGACUAAAGGAGGUCUUAGUCAUGAGUGAAUGAACCGGGACCAAAGGACCCCCCCCCCCCCGUCUCAAAAAUUUAGUCCCGCUUGAAUUUUCGGGAUCUAUGGCACUAUCCAACCGGGACUAAAGCCGCGUUUUCCACCAGCGUAGGAAGGAAGAAUAUUGAGAUGUCGCUUGUCCUCUGUAUCCACAGUCACCUGCUUGAUACGUGUUAAAUUAUGUAAAGGAACCUUUGGAGAACAUUUGCAAAAAAAAGCUAUGCACUUUUGAAUUCUCCAACUGGCUGUGGACUAAAUUGUAGUAAAUCACAAGUAAAUGGAGCCAGUCAUCUGCUCCCAUGUGUUUUGAAAGGUCUCAUUUGUAUUGAAUCUGUGAUCCUCUUCCCCACCAACCACCUUAAGUCUAUUGUCAUCCUAGCAUAAACAUUGGCUGGCUAUUAAUUUGCUUUCUAGCCAUUAUUGUUAUUGCCUCUCAUGCUCAGAUGUUUUACAAGUAUGCAUGCCUCUCCCCUCUUCUGUAAAAAAAAAAACCAUCGCAUUUUCCUAGCUUGAUCUCUUCCUGUGCCAUCUUCACCUUCGCCGCUGCUUCAUUCACGCACACCCAGCUUGGAAUGAGAGGUACCAACAAAUUAACUGUGUGGCUCAUAUUUUCCACCUGUCACCAAAAAUUUUAAAUCCACUUGAAUAAAUUCCACGGUUUUGGCAUUCACGGGUGUUCAUAACACAUACCAACAAAACGAUGAGAUAGUAAGAUAUUGAGGUAGCAAUGGAUGGCAAGCUUGAACCUAAUCCCUUAGUUUUACCAUGCCUAACGGGAAGAUUUAAUUUGCAUCAAUACGGUACUAAUAGAUUGAACUUCAUGGUAAAUAUAUGAAUUUGUGGAUAAAAUAAACAAGUCAAAUAAUCGAACAUUGAAGAAAACAUAUAUAGUUCCAAAUAACCAUAGUAGUACAUAAUAUUUUGAAUCAAUAAGGUUGAGAUUUAUUGAUUUUUGCAAUGGUGAAUAAUUUAUAAUUUAAAUCUUGGGUGGAGUCUACAAACUGCAUGGAGUCUACCAUUUUGUUCUGACAUAUAUACACUCCAAUAAGGUAGUAAACAACUAAUCAUUAGGGAUAUUGGCGCUGCCCAAUGCUUAUUAGAAAGGUAGUAAUAAAUAAUCUACCUAUUAUCUUAGUUUUUCACCAAUAAAAGAAGGGCAACAGAAGUCAUAGAAAUUGCCACAUUAGCGAGGGCAAAUUAUCCAUAUACUUGUUUAUAAAGUACCCACCCACUAGUCCACUACUCUUCCACAAAUAAUUAUGCCAAAAUACCCCAUAUACCUACUUCUGCAUGACCCACCACUACCAUAAUGCAAAACUAAGCCAAGUUAUGCGCUAUUGAAUUCUCAAACCGGCACGUAUGUGAAUUUGGGAUGGUGGGGUAUUCUUUAUUUAGCAUGUGCCCAUGCGGCCUCGACCAACCAUCCUGGCCUUGUUUAGUUCCCAAUUUGGGAGUGUCAAAAUUGGCAUUUUGCCAUAAAUGCGCAACUGUAGCAUUUCGUUUGUAUUUGUGAAUUAUUGUCCAAACAUUGACUAAUUAGGCUCAAAAGAUUCGUCUCGCAAAGUACAACAAAACUGUGCAAUUAGUUUUUGAUUUCAUCUACAUUUAGUACUCCAUGCAUGUACCGCAAGUUUGAUGUGAUGGGGAAUCUUCUUUUUGCAUAGUGCUAAAGUUGGAAUUUUGGAGGGAAGUAAACAAGGGUCUAAUCCUGCGGGCCGCAAGCUUGCAGCGCCCACAAAUAAAAAUAAAUUGGGACCAUGUAGCCUGUUGCUUCAGUACCUUGUGCCACUCUGAUCGAUAUCGCAUCUGAUUAUGACCAUAUAGUAGUCAAUAAGCUGCAGGUAGGCUAGCUUUCAUUGUCGUUCCGCACUGCAGGACUGCAAUCCUGCCUAGUACAUGCAUAGAAAUCAACUAGCUAGAAAUGGGAGGUAUCGGAAGUUCCUAAUCACUACAUGCAAGCUUUUUCUCUGAGGAUUCUAGAUGCAUCGUCUAAUGAACGUAGAUGAGGAAAGGUUGCUAUCAUCCAUCUAUCUCCCAUCACAUCAGGCUCUCAGGACGCUUCACGGAGGACUCAUGGCUAUGGAUUUUGUUGUGCCGAACAUGGGGUUGAGGCUUCCAAGAGGAAGCGGAACCUUUUGGCAUGCUCACCGCCUCUUGCUUGGCACUCGGCACCUGCUGGCUGUAAUGUGCACGCUGCCCACUGGUACCUGGUACCGUUGGUGCUGCCGGUUUGGCGUGCACUAGGAGACAAAAAGUCCCGGGUCUAAAUUUUAUAGUCUCUCGAAACCCUUUUAAUCUCGUUUGGUAGUUUCAAUCAAGAUAAAAGUGGAGCUUUUAGUCUUAGUUGGAGCCACCAACCCUAAUAAAUGAGCAUAGAAACCAUUAGUCCCGGUUGGAGCCACCAACCGGGACUACAUAUUUUUACCGCAGGCGGCCCCUCUCUCUCCACCCUGUCUUCUCUCCUCCUCUCCCCUUCUUCCUUAUCUUCUCUCAUUUUCUCCCUUAUCUCCACAUAGGCGUUAUCUGAGCGCGCAAUGGGGGGCACGAGCGACCCGGGCCACACGGCUGGUGUGGGAGUGCACGGGCCAGCGGGGCACGCGGCGGUCGGCCUGCUAGGGGCGGCGUGGCGCUAGCGGCCGUGGCCAAGGCCAUGGAGCGGCGCCGGCCUAGGGGCAUGGCGGCAGGCGCGGCCCGUCCGGCCAGCGGGGGUGCGGCUCCCCGCGGCAUGCCGGCCGGCUCCCCGCGCGCACGACAUCCGCAGGAGCACAGCGGUGAGGGGCAUGAGCAGCCAGGGCCGCGCGGCUGGCGCGGGAGCACACGGGCUGGCGGGGCACGCGGCGGUCGGGACCGCCUCCCACGGCCGGCCUGCUAGGGGUGGCUGGGUGCCGACGGCCGUGGCCAAGGCCAUGGAGUGGUGUGCGGCCUGGGGGCACAAAGGCUAGCUCGGCCUCCAACGGGGGCAUGGCUCCCCACGGCACGCGAUCGGUGGCAGGAGCGCGGUGGGGGGGGGCACAAGCGGCCGGGGCUGCGCGGCUGGCGUGGGAGCGCAUGGGCCAGCGGGGCACACGGUGGCCGGGACCGUUUUCCGUGGCCGGCCUGCUAGGGGCGGCGGGGUGCCGGCGGCCGUGCCCAAGGCCAUGGAGCGGCGCGCGGCCUGGGGGCACGGCAGUUGACGCCGUCCGGCCAGCGGGGGCGCAGCUCCCCGUGGCGUGCGACCGGCGGCAGGAGCACGGCGGUGGGAGGCACGAGCGGCGCAGUGCAGGCGGCCCGACAUGAUUUGUUUGUGAGUGAAUAGUGAUCUAGUAGUGCAUGAUUUGUGCGAAUUGUGUAUUGUGUAUCAGAUUUUGUGCGAAUUGAUUGGUUGUGUGUUCUUACUUGUGUGAUGAUCAUGUGAGAUGAGCAUAUUUUUUUUGCUUCAAUUUGUGAAGCAUCAAUUGUUUCUUGCUCUUGAUUUGGUUGUCUCGGUGGUGAAGUUGGAGCUGAGGUGGUACGGUGGUCGAGGCAGAGCUGUAGGGGUGGCGGCGCGAGCAGGCAAGACGGAGGGCGGCCCACUUUUUUUUAUUUUUUCAGAAUACUUUUAGUUCCGGUUGGUGCUACCAACCGGAUCUUUAGUCCCGAAUGAUUAGUCCUGGUUGGAUUUUCAAGACCUAUAUGUCUCUCCAACUGGGAUUAAAGCUCAGUUUUUCAUCAGUGUAGUUGUCAAUAAAAAGUUGUAUGGUGCAACAGAUAACUCAAUAAAUUCCAAUCCCAGUACAUAUUAUUUAGGAGGCACACCUGGAUACACAAUCCAGUUCUCAGAUAAGAUUUACAAAAGAUGAUGGUAACUGAUUGCAAUCAAAAAAUUAAUGGCGUUGCCUUUGAUCAAGGAACCUUCCUGCCCGUGAGACUCACACGCAGCUAACCAGACGACGUCUGAACUGGAAAAAGCAGAAACCGCUAAUGGAAGCGUUUCAUAGCACCAACCACAGCACAAGCAAAAGAUGCUAAAAUAUCCUAUGCAAAUUGGGGAGCACGCAGCAAUCUCUGUAGAUUGCGUCAAUCAGUCGAUGGCGAUUAUCGGCAAUUCCGCGUGUCGCCUAGCAUUUGGGGAGAUCAGACGGCGGAGGCAGCAGCUUCUCUUUAGGCUUGUCUCCGUCCAGCACCAGCCAUGCCAUUUUCAGGCCCCAGCUGACGUGAACCUCCAAGUGGCAAUGCAUGAACCACACCCCUGCACACACGACUACUGUUAACAUUCUCCAAGAAGCUUGGGUUAUCCCAAACCAAAGUCACCUUUGCUUGCUCAUCAGAUCGUUGCUGAUCUGGCACAGUUAGUAUGUCACGGUAAUUUUUGAAUUCUUACCUGGAUUGUCUGCACGGAACCGGAUGGCCACCCAGCCGCCGGCCGGCACGCCGACGGUGUUCCGCUCGACGGGGUCGACGAGGUUGUACUGGGCCGGGUCCUUGACGGGGUCGAAGUUGCCGAAGCCUUGGCCAACGACGAAGAAGUUGAAGCCGUGGAGGUGCAGCGGGUGGCUCUCGUUGCCGAGGAUGCUGGUGCCCUGCAUCACCAGCUCCACGCUGGUGCCGUACGGGAGCACCACCAGCUUGGUCCCGUUGGACACGUUGGUGU
rnacentral:lncRNA from 1 species